rnacentral:rRNA from 1 species
GACGAACGCUGGCGGCGUGCUUAACACAUGCAAGUCGAACGGAAAGGCCCUGCUUUUGUGGGGUGCUCGAGUGGCGAACGGGUGAGUAACACGUGAGUAACCUGCCCUUGACUUUGGGAUAACUUCAGGAAACUGGGGCUAAUACCGGAUAGGAGCUCCUGCUGCAUGGUGUGGGUUGGAAAGUUUCGGCGGUUGGGGAUGGACUCGCGGCUUAUCAGCUUGUUGGUGGGGUAGUGGCUUACCAAGGCUUUGACGGGUAGCCGGCCUGAGAGGGUGACCGGCCACAUUGGGACUGGGAUACGGCCCAGACUACUACGGGAGGCAGGAGUGGGGAAUAUUGCACAAUGGGCCGAAGCCUGAUGCAGCAACGCCGCGUGCGGGAUGACGGCCUUCGGGUUGUAAACCGCUUUCGCCUGUGACGAAGCGUGAGUGACGGUAAUGGGUAAAGAAGCACCGGCUAACUACGUG